AAUCAACGCUGGCGGCGUGCCUAACACAUGCAAGUCGAACGCGAGAGGGGCUUCGGCCCUGAUUGAGUGGCAAACGGGUGAGUAACGCGUGGGUGACCUACCUUCGAGUGGGGGAUAACGUUCCGAAAGGGACGCUAAUACCGCAUAACAUCCUGUCUUUGGACAGAUGGAGAUCAAAGCCGGGGAUCGUAAGACCUGGCGCUUGAGGAGGGGCCCGCGUCCGAUUAGCUAGUUGGUGGGGAAUGGCUCACCAAGGCAACGAUCGGUAGCCGGCCUGAGGAGGGCGGACGGCCACAC
rnacentral:rRNA from 1 species